rnacentral:rRNA from 1 species
GAUGAACGCUGGCGGCGUGCCUAAUACAUGCAAGUCGAGCGAAUGGAUUAAGAGCUUGCUCUUAUGAAGUUAGCGGCGGACGGGUGAGCAACACGUGGGUAACCUGCCCAUAAGACUGGGAUAACUCCGGGAAACCGGGGCUAAUACCGGAUAACAUUUUGAACCGCAUGGUUCGAAAUUGAAAGGCGGCUUCGGCUGUCACUUAUGGAUGGACCCGCGUCGCAUUAGCUAGUUGGUGAGGUAACGGCUCACCAAGGCAACGAUGCGUAGCCGACCUGAGAGGGUGAUCGGCCACACUGGGACUGGGACACGGCCCAGACUCCUACGGGAGGUAGCAGUAGGGAAUCUUCCGCAAUGGACGAAAGUCUGACGGAGCAACGCCGCGUGAGUGAUGAAGGCUUUCGGGUCGUAAAACUCUGUUGUUAGGGAAGAACAAGUGCUAGUUGAAUAAGCUGGCACCUUGACGGUACCUAACCAGAAAGUCACGGCUAACUACGUGCCAGCAGCCGCCGUAA